GGGGAAUUGAGGUGCAGAAAGACUAACUGACCAAGACAGGGAGUCUACAGAAGAGCUGCUACACCGAGUGAAGAUCACUCUGCAACAGAUCAGUGAGGUUUACAUAUAAAUUAGGGUAACAGCCUGGAUUGUUUUCCCCUUCCAGCUCAC